rnacentral:rRNA from 1 species
UACAGAGGUCUCAAGCGUUGUUCGGAUUCAUUGGGCGUAAAGGGUGUGUAGGUGGCGCGCUAAGUCGGGUGUGAAAUUUCGGAGCUUAACUCCGAAACUGCAUUCGAUACUGGCGUGCUUGAGGACUGGAGAGGAGACUGGAAUUCAUGGUGUAGCAGUGAAAUGCGUAGAGAUCAUGAGGAAGACCAGUGGCGAAGGCGGGGUCUCUGGACAGUUCCUGACACUGAGACACGAAGGCCAGGGGAGCAAACGGGG